rnacentral:rRNA from 1 species
UGCAGAGGGUGCAAGCGUUGUUCGGAAUUACUGGGCGUAAAGGGCGUGCAGGCGGUUUGUCGCGUCGGCCGUGAAUCUCCACGCUUAACGUGGAGCGUGCGGUCGAUACGGGCAGACUUGAGUUCGGUAGGGGAGACUGGAAUUCCUGGUGUAGCGGUGAAAUGCGCAGAUAUCAGGAGGAACACCGGUGGCGAAGGCGGGUCUCUGGGCCGAUACUGACGCUGAGGAGCGAAAGCGUGGGGGAGCGAACAGG